rnacentral:lncRNA from 1 species
CUCUGGGUCUCGCACGCAGCAGCUGCAGACGCUGCCCGGCGCGGUGGGGCUGUGAGCAAAACGGCCCGCCGGUGUGGUUGCCCAGACUGUGCUGGGCCCUCCUAGGUGGAUGGCCCUGCCCCAGCCUAACUUCUGUACCCCAGCAUAACCUCCAAAGUAACAGCCGUGCCCUGGGAGCCUGUUCAACACUGAACAUAUCCCACAAUAACACUGUUCCAGCGUCGCUGGUAAAAAGCAGAAAUGGCUUCGCUGGAGGCAUCGACAAAUCUAAUGCAGUAACCUCAUUUUACAGAAGAGAACUCUAAGAGGAUAACUAACUUGGCCAAGAUCACAUGAUGUUUCUGGAUGAGAUUAGCAUUCAAAUUCGUGGACUCAUUAAAGUAGAUGGCUCUCUCCAAUAUGGGUGGGCAUCAUCCAAUCUGUUGAAGGCGUGAAGAGAACAAGAGAAGGAGGAAGGAAGAAUUCACCUUUUUUCUUGCUGCCCACCUGCUUGGGCUGGGACAUUGCAUCUCACCUUCUCCAGCCUUUGGAUGAGGAUUUACACCCUGGUUCUCAGGCCUUCAGGCUCUAACUGGAGCUACACUAUCAACUUUCCUGGGCCUCCAGAUUGCAGAUGGUGGAUCACGGUACUUUUUAGCCUCCAUCAUAAUAUGAGAAAAAAGAGGCACAGUGAAGCUAAAUAUAUUGGCUAAAGAUCACAAAGCUAUUACUAUUGGUGAGGAAUUUUGGAGUAAUUUGAUUGGGUGUUCUGGCUCAAGGGUCUCUUAUGAGUUUGCAGUCAGAUGUCAGCUGUGGCUACAUCAUCUGGACACAUGACUGAGGGUGGAACAUUCAAUUUCAAGGUAUCUCACUCAUAUGGCUGGUAAGUUGGUUCUGGCUGUUGGCUAAGAGUCUCAAUUUCUGGCCACAUGGGCCACUCCAUGAGGCUGCUUGAGUGUCCUCUCAACAUGGUGUCUGGAUCUUUGGAUUACAAAAGACUAAUGUGGAAUCUGCAAUGCCAUUUAUAAUUUAUCCUUGAAAGUUCACACACUUCUGCUGUACAAACUUCUGUUCUUACCCGUGACUCUUUUGUCAAGCUGUGUCUUGAUAAAUUGUAACACUUUUGAGUCUUUGAAGAAAGUGAUCUGUUUUUAGUGUGGGUACUUUAUAUUGAUCUCAAACACUUGUAGCAUAAUACUGGGAAGAUAAUGAGUCACUGAGUUUUAAAUCAUUACUUGAGUAAUGUUAAUGAACAUCUUUUGGGGUAUGUAUUUGAAUGCCAACUAGUUAUUGACUAUCCAAAAAGUGGUUUUCCUUGGU